CUUGUCUAGUGAUCCAGGCUGCUUCAUGUGUGAAAUAUUACAAGAAAGAUUUAUUUAAUUUUUUGACAAGAAAGAUUUGAAUAUUCAUUAUAAGUUAAUACAGAAACAUCAUAGGAAGAGAUAAAAUAGAGCUACAGAACUGGAAAAAAAAAGUAUACAGCAGUUGAGAAGUGGAAAAACCAGUUUGUUUGAAUUGUUUUCUCAAGCAAAUCUUGGGGUUGUUUUCUUUCUUUUUGGUUUUUGCACACUAUAUCCCUCUAGUGGAGAACUUUCCUGAUCGAGGUGCUGUUUAAGAAGCAAUUGUGCUUUCAUAAAAAUCAGUUCUAAUGUAGUAUCUCUCAAAAGACUCUGAAUAACAGUGUAAUGCAUUAGUUUACUAUCAAAAGAGAUGGCAGAGCUGGAAACCAGCAGGGUUUCUUACCACAUUUGGAGUAGCUGUGUUUCCCUCCUUCUAGCAUGUGUGGUGGUUGUGAUAUAAGCCGACUCUACUCUUGUGGUGAUCCAUGGUCAAGGCUGCAGUGGAGCUGACUUAUAACGAUGAAGCAAACAUGGACAGAGGUCAUUUGCCAGACUUCAAUGACCAUGGACAUUCCUGUGAGCCUCUGGGAAGAAAUAGGGAGCCAACAGGGGCCAUAUCCCUUGUCUAAUGCUCAUACCGAUUAUAGUCUUUGCACCAUUUCUCUGCUAGUUUGGAAAUAAACUGAAAUAAAAGCCACAUUCGACUGAAUGCA
rnacentral:lncRNA from 1 species